rnacentral:misc_RNA from 1 species
UCUAUAUUUUUUGCGAAUAACCUGAAGAUGAAUUAUGAAAGGGUGUGACAAUUAUCAGUAAUGCAGGAAGACGCAGAGGUAGAGCAAGAAGAAUAGUGAAAAGAGAGAGCUAAAUAAGGAGCAAAUUAUUGGCAUGGGAAAAAUUCCGAUACAAUUUCCUGGUCUAAACACUCCUGUGUUUAAAGGAAAAGAAUUAAUUCAACAGCAAAAACUGCUUGUAAAUCUUGAAAGAAAGCAAAAACUUAUGGAAUUACAAAGUCAGACCAGACCAAUGCAAAUAAAAUUAUCGCCAUUGGAAUGUGGUUGGAUGAGUGUUACAAUGGAUGGCAGAAGCAUUGAAUUAGAUCUUAUAGGAAAAGAUACAUUUGAAAGUUUUGAAACCUGGAUUUUGGAAAACAAAAUGAUAACUUGUAUUACUGGUAAUUUAGCACGUAAGACUAGAAUCAGUUCAUUUAUAGUAACUGGAAAUGGAAAUGGAUUAGCUGAAUUUGCGUUAUCAAAAGCCAAAGCAUCCCUAAAGAUGGUUAAAAAUAGGGCUGGUCAAAGACUAAUGUAUAUUCCUACAUAUAAGGAAUACACUGUGUUACAUGAUUUCUUUACACAGUUUGAGAAUAUAAAAAUAUUUGUAAAGAAAAUUCAUGAAGGAUAAUGGGCUUGUUUGUCAUCAUGCGAUAAAAGCGUGUUGCGAGAUAAUUGGCAUAAAGAAUAUGUAUGCCAAAGUACAAAGAGAAAUGUAAAAGCAUUCUUUAUUGGUUUAUUGCAACAGAUAUUUCUAUUG